AUGUUUUUGGUAUGGUCUGCUUAUUCUGUGGAGUGGAACUAUCAGUAUGGGAGCAAAUUAAAAUAUUCCAACGGGAUGGGACGGAGCACACCUAACCCUGUGUGGUGUCAGAUAUGGAAGUUAUCUUGUCCGGCUAAAGUCAUUUUUUUAUGGCGGACACUACAUGGUACUCUCCCAUGUCGGGAAACACUCACUAAUAGACACAUGAAGGUCUCGCCCGCUUGCACUACAUGCUCUCAGGGUGUAGAAGAUACGAAGCACUUGCUUUUCCUAUGUAGAAAAGCGAAGGAGAUUUGGAAAAAGCUAGGGUUGGAUAUUAUUAUUGAGAGAGCUUGUGAGAUUGAUCGUGCUGGAGAGGCAAUACUGGAAUACUUAUUACUCCUUCCAGAUCAAGAUCUGCGCAUUAUGGGGUACGAAAAUGUUCGAGAAAUGAUAGCUAUCUCUGCUUGGUAUCUAUGCUGGGAAAGACGGAAAUUAAUGCACAAGGAAUUCACUCAAAAUGCGACUCAGAUCUCAAUGGGGAUCAUAGCUCUUACAUAUAAUUUUGUAAAUGCCUCAUCUUCAAAGGCGUCCAUGAAAAAUGGGGGAUGGAAAUGUCCUCCUAGGGGCUUUGUGAAACUCAAUGUUGACGCCUCUUUUGACCAUGAUUUGCUGGAGGGUACGAUGGGGGCAGUAUUGAGAGACGACUGUGACGCUCCCGAUUUGACCGUACACUAA
rnacentral:rRNA from 1 species